rnacentral:tRNA from 1 species
GCCCAUGUAGCUCAGGGGUAGAGCACUUCCUUGGUAAGGAAGAGGUCCUCGGUUCAAAUCCGAGCAUGGGCU